rnacentral:rRNA from 1 species
GGAAUACAUCGGAAUCUACUCUGUCGUGGGGGAUAACGUAGGGAAACUUACGCUAAUACCGCAUACGACCUACGGGUGAAAGCAGGGGAUCUUCGGACCUUGCGCGAUUGAAUGAGCCGAUGUCGGAUUAGCUAGUUGGCGGGGUAAAGGCCCACCAAGGCGACGAUCCGUAGCUGGUCUGAGAGGAUGAUCAGCCACACUGGAACUGAGACACGGUCCAGACUCCUACGGGAGGCAGCAGUGGGGAAUAUUGGACAAUGGGCGCAAGCCUGAUCCAGCCAUACCGCGUGGGUGAAGAAGGCCUUCGGGUUGUAAAGCCCUUUUGUUGGGAAAGAAAUCCAACUGGUUAAUACCCGGUUGGGAUGACGGUACCCAAAGAAUAAGCACCGGCUAACUUCGUGCCAGCAGCCGCGGUAAUACGAAGGGUGCAAGCGUUACUCGGAAUUACUGGGCGUAAAGCGUGCGUAGGUGGUUAUUUAAGUCCGUUGUGAAAGCCCUGGGCUCAACCUGGGAACUGCAGUGGAUACUGGAUGACUAGAAUGUGGUAGAGGGUAGC